rnacentral:rRNA from 1 species
GUGAGGAAUAUUGGUCAAUGGACGGAAGUCUGAACCAGCCAUGUCGCGUGCAGGAAUAAGGUCCUAUGGAUUGUAAACUGCUUUUAUUCGGGAAUAAACCUCUUUACGUGUAGGGAGCUGAAGGUACCGAAGGAAUAAGCACCGGCUAACUCCGUGCCAGCAGCCGCGGUAAUACGGAGGGUGCAAGCGUUAUCCGGAAUCAUUGGGUUUAAAGGGUCCGCAGGCGGUCAUAUAAGUCAGUGGUGAAAGCCUACAGCUCAACUGUAGAACUGCCAUUGAUACUGUAUGACUUGAAUUCGAUCGAAGUGGGCGGAAUGUGACAUGUAGCGGUGAAAUGCUUAGAUAUGUCACAGAACACCGAUAGCGAAGGCAGCUCACUAGGUCUGGAUUGACGCUCAGGGACGAAAGCGUGGGGAGCAAACAGGAUUAGAAACCCCAGUAGUCC